rnacentral:rRNA from 1 species
UACGGGGGGAGCAAGCGUUGUUCGGAUUUACUGGGCGUAAAGGGCGCGUAGGCGGUCGUGACAAGUCACUUGUGAAAUCUCCGGGCUUAACUCGGAAAGGUCAAGUGAUACUGUCGGACUAGAGUACAGAAGGGGCAACUGGAAUUCUUGGUGUAGCGGUGAAAUGCGUAGAUAUCAAGAGGAACACCUGCGGCGAAGGCGGGUUGCUGGGCCGACACUGACGCUGAGGCGCGAAAGCCAGGGGAGCAAACGGG